rnacentral:lncRNA from 1 species
GUAAUCCAAGGGAUUAUAGUGAAUUCCCAAGUGAGACUUGGGGAGUGGACGUAGGAGCAAGGGUUAGCUCCGAACCACUAUAAAAUAUUGUGUUUGUGAUUGUUUGUCUCUCUCUAUUUCUCUCAUUUCAUUCACAGCACAUAACAACUAAUUAAUCAUCUCACAAAAGCAUUAAUUAGUCAUCCACAAAAGUUUUAAUUGCAAAAUUAUUUUAAAACCCAAUUCACCC